ensembl:antisense Kcnab3os potassium voltage-gated channel, shaker-related subfamily, beta member 3, opposite strand
GUUCCCCAAGAGCGCAUCUAUUUCCACCACCGUUUGCGGCGUCAGCUGACUCAGCACCUUGAGAAUGGGCAGUAGAGAGGGCAGGUUUUGCUGGGUCACCGAGUUAAGGGCAUGAUGAAGGCCACAGUGGGACCCACUGAGAAAGUCUCAGCUGUUUGACAGCUUGGCACUGUCUCCCUGGACUUCCCUUUACAAAUGACAACUCUGUAAGAAGGAAAAGGCUACGUCAAGGAGCGGGGCUUACCUGAAGCUAUGGAGAACUGGGAUGGCACGAGUCCUUACCGGCAGGUGUGGAGCAGCAAACCCCCCACUCCUAUCCCAUAGACCACAGAUCCUUCGUAAGGCUUCGCCCCAAGUACUCACUGUCCACCCCAAAAAAUCUUGGUGGUGAUAACAUAGCUUGAUCUCCUGGAAAAAGCAAAACAAUAUUUCCAGCAGGAAAAUGAUAUUUGGUUGAUCAUGUCUCCAGCAGCCACCACCCCCUGAACAGUCUCACCUCCAGCCUUUGCUCUUGAGAAUAUUGCCAAGGGUUCUUUCAGCCCUGAAAUAAAGACAAUGCAAGGACA